rnacentral:rRNA from 1 species
CCUACGGGUGGCAGUAGUGAGGAAUAUUGGUCAAUGGUCGGGAGACUGAACCAGCCAAGCCGCGUGAGGGAUGAAGGUACAGAGUAUCGUAAACCUCUUUUGUCGGGGAGCAAAGCGAGUCACGUGUGACUCAUUGAGAGUACCCGAAGAAAAAGCAUCGGCUAACUCCGUGCCAGCAGCCGCGGUAAUACGGAGGAUGCGAGCGUUAUCCGGAUUUAUUGGGUUUAAAGGGUGCGCAGGCGGAGGUGCAAGUCAGCGGUCAAAUUGCGGGGCUCAACCCCGUACUGCCGUUGAAACUGCAUCCCUUGAGUGCGCGAGAAGUAUGCGGAAUGCGUGGUGUAGCGGUGAAAUGCAUAGAUAUCACGCAGAACUCCGAUUGCGAAGGCAGCAUACCGGCGCGCAACUGACGCUCAUGCACGAAAGCGUGGGUAUCGAACAGGAUUAGAUACCCGAGUAGUC